GGGGAUAUAGCUCAAUGGUAGAGUGCUUGCCUUGCAUAUAUGAGGCCCUGGGUUCCACCCCCAGCACCA
rnacentral:tRNA from 1 species